AGAAAGUUUCUUAUUCUCUCCCAUAAAAGGAAGAGGGGACUUACUUUAGCUUUAGAGUGAAUCUUUUUUUCUUAAAAAAAAAGCGGGGAUUCCUUUCGAGAAAGUACUUGUGAAUAGACAUCUGAGAUUGAAGUGAAGCCCCCUUUCAUUUUCUUAGCUCAGAGAGGUUUUCGAUUGAAUACCAUGCAAUCUACGAUGCUAAGAAUCAACUUGAUUCUAUUUUCUUUUUGCCUUACCCGCUCCACUAUGCCCCUUUCGAACUGAUCACCAGAUGGAAUUCAAUAUGACAUCCACUUCAUGUGUCGAGCCUACUGUCACUUUGAUUGUGUUUGAAGAAACUGAAGAGGCUUAUGAUCAGUAUGAACAAUCACCUCCUUACCUAGCAAGUACGGUCACCGGUGCUUUCAAGCAUUCAACAGAUUGAUCAAGAACUCAUCUAAAAAGGGGAAGACCCUAUCACUCGAAAGGAAGAAGGAAAGCUACUCCAACAGGAUCUCUAGAUGUCUCAAAAAGGCAGAAGCAGAAGAAAACAUACAUGACUUGGAGAAGAAAUUAUAUUAGGAUUAGCGGAAACACUCUUACACUUCUAUGGUAUGGAGAAUGCUUCCAUUCCAAGACUGACUGCGCUAUGAGGAAUGAUAUUAUACAAAUAUUUUGGCUAGAGGGAAAACUAAAAGAAGAGGGCUAAGGUUGGCUCAGUCCAGUUGAAAUGGGGACUCUCUUGAAACGGGUAGUAUACGGUAUGGGUUUGCUCUUUCCCGAAGGUGAUAAAAAAGAGAGAGAUUCACCAUGCCAGCUACAUUGGAUUGAAAACAAACUUGCCUGGAGAAAUCAAACUUCCUGCCUUUGCCCUUUAUCAGCUCAAUAAAGUCUAAUGUAUCGUGAGAUAAAAAGAAAAGUUUCAGAAUGAAGUUGAUUGAAUGAGAUUGAGAAAUGGAGGUUUGAGAAGCCGGAAAGAGUAUCCAGGUUAGGAAAACAAAGUUUUAUAGCUUUCCUAUGUCUAAG
rnacentral:lncRNA from 1 species